UUUAUUAGGGGAGCUGAGGCUGAGAGGUUAUUAAGUUAACGACCCAUAAAACCUGAUCUAGAUAAUGCUAGCGUAGGAAUUAUUAU
rnacentral:ncRNA from 1 species